UACGUAGGGGGCGAGCGUUGUCCGGAUUUAUUGGGCGUAAAGAGCGUGUAGGCGGCCAGGUAGGUCUGCUGUGAAAACUCGAGGCUCAACCUCGAGACGUCGGCGGAAACCAUCUGGCUAGAGUCCGGAAGAGGAGAGUGGAAUUCCUGGUGUAGCGGUGAAAUGCGCAGAUAUCAGGAGGAACACCAAUUGCGAAGGCAGCUCGCUGGAACGUAACUGACGCUGAGACGCGAAAGCGUGGGGAGCGAACAGG
rnacentral:rRNA from 1 species